rnacentral:hammerhead_ribozyme from 1 species
AUUGCUGACGAGUCCCAAAUAGGACAAAACGCGCAUCCUGAAU